CGACCGGCAAACGGGUGCGGAACACGUACGCAACCUUCCUUUAAGUGGGGGAUAGCCCAGGGAAACUUGGAUUAAUACCCCGUAAAAUUAUGAGGUGGCAUCAUCUUAUAAUUAAAGCUCCGGCGCUUAAAGAUGGGCGUGCGCCUGAUUAGGUAGUUGGCGGGGUAACGGCCCACCAAGCCUGCGAUCAGUAACUGGUGUGAGAGCACGACCAGUCACACGGGCACUGAGACACGGGCCCG
rnacentral:rRNA from 1 species